rnacentral:misc_RNA from 1 species
GGCAAUUUCAAUACGUUUUCUCAACAGGAACUUUGCAGAAAAUUUCUAAUAGCUCAGCAGAAAAUUAAUAUUUUACUCAGAUUUUACGAGAUAUAUCUAUUAUCUAUGACGAUAGUUUCUCUAAUAUUAAUUGAUGUGUAUUAAUCAAUUUGUUUACAAAAUUAUUAGGCGCGAAAAGCCUUUUUAAUGGAUUUUAACGCAAUUUUUACAUUAAUAAUAUAGAUUUAUAAAGAUAUUUUCACAUUUGGUACAAUCCUUCAAAGAUCGGCCAUAAUCUUGUAAACUUGAAAUUGAAAGGAGGAAAUGUAUAAAACCGAAGGAUAUUUGGAGCCUAGUAGUUUGAGUGCAGGCUAUACGUCUAGUAGUGUAUAUUCUCAUUCUGAUCAAUUUUCUCCUGGAUAUGAUACAAGAGGUAAAUAGAUGUAUAAUAACUGUAUACCAUUUAAAUAUACGGUAUCUCUUUUAUAUAGUAGAAAGUGUAUUAAAAGUAACAAAUUAAAAGAGACAUAGAUGAAAACUGUUUCGACGUCCUUAGACGACGUAAUCAAUUUUUUUUGAAUUUAAAUAGCUAUCUUUCUAAAUUCACUAUGACUGGUUUAGAAAUUAUGCAGUCAACUUUUAAGGGUGAGCAAGGGGAAUACAGAGAGAAAUUCACUUAUUAACCUAAGCUGUUCACCAUAUUCGAGAAUUAUUAUUUGCUUGUUUACCCCAUGAAUACUGAAUAUUUAUGUACAUUAUACAUAGGACGGGAGCUGUACAUAUAGCAAUUAUUAUAAACGUACUAAUACAACUAUAAAUCUAUAAAUGUACUCUGUAUAUCCUAUUUAUUCAUUGUUUGUGUCGUUAUUUUAUCUUUCCUUUUCAGUGUAGGCCUAAGUAUCUUGAUUUUUAGGUUGUUGAGUUGAGUCAUAGUUAAGCCAUAACUGCUUAACUAGUUUUAUCAGCAGUUUUUUCGCCUUAGGAUAGCUCUGCAUUACAAACAACCCAGAGAGUUUCUCAGGUACGAAUACUUGACUCAUCCUAUAUAAAAUGCCAUGACUGAUGCAGGCGGCCUCUUCAAAAGGCCUACAUCUCAGCAAAUUACGACUUUGCACUGUACGUAUCCCGUACAUACUCUAAACUGCAUAGCAUAUAUCGAAUAGGAAACGGGAAUACGAAGUACUUUCUUUCCUAUUGUUUAAAAGUAUUCGAUUAGUAUUAGAUAGCCUCAUUGGCCUAAAGCGGUCGAAAAAUACUUAAUCUUUAUUUCUUAACGGAUAAUCCACAAACAUUACACACUUAAUCAUCGUAAGAAUGAAGAGGAAACUGCACUAAAAUCCGUUAUGGAUAUUCGUAAAGAUGAGCAUGUAUAUGAGAAAGCAGUUUACGAGAGUUUCAAGGAGAAUCCAGUUACAAGAGAAAUGAAGAACGAAAGAGUUAAAGUCAAUCCAGUGUAUCAAGCUGACGAAACUGACUACAUUAAGAAGAGUAUCCCAAAAUCUACAGUUUAUCCUGGAUUGUUAACUUUUGUAUUAAUUAUUCUUUUCCUCGUAUCGACUUGUGCCUUAAUUCUUUCGAUUAUUACUGUUGGAGACGUAAAAGAUCUUAAGGAAUCUAGUACAAGAACGUCAACACCAAAUUUUGUUCUGAGCGAUAAUUCAUCGGCAAAGUGGUUAGAAGAGUUUAAGGAAUGGAAAAAAGUCAAAGAACAAUUAGAAAUCCGCCUACAGAGUCUUGAACAAGAAAACAUAAAAUUGAAGGAUGGUAUAGAUAAACUAGAGAAAAAGUACGAACGUCAGACAGAUAAUGAAAUGUACCUUAGGGAAGAUAUGAGAACUAUAAAAAGUCAAAUUCAAACUACUGUGAACGGAACAGUAUUUGACAGAGAAAUAAAAAAAAUUAAAGAAAAUUUCGAUUGUAAAGUGUACAAUAUGACGCAUUCUUCUUCAUUCGAUCGUUCAUUCACAUAUACUCCUUCAAUGUAUCCUUGCAAAAAUAGGGAUGUUCCUUAUUGUCCCAUUUCUAAGGAGGAUCUACAGAAAAUCACAAUUAUGUCUGCCUAUUGUACGUCAAAGAAUGCUCAAAGUAGUUUGUUAACCGAAACAUCUAACGGUAUCUUCAAAUGUUAUUGUUUCGGUAAGCACCCGGAUGCUAAGUUGAAAAAAUUAAAUGAAAGAGAAUGUACGAUGUGGAUAAGAUAUUGUAAAAAAUCUGAGUAAUACAUUUAAGGAAGCAUAGAAGAAUAGCAAAGUUUGGUGCUGUAAGAAGACACUAAAAUGUUUUCAUCUUUUGUUUCUGAUAUAAAAUAAACGAUAGUUUUCAUUUUUGCUCUAUUUUAGCAUAAAAUAUAUAAAAAAUGAAAUAAUAAACUUAUGAAUCACUCAACAAAGGGAAUUCAUUGAGAUAAAAAAUUAA